rnacentral:rRNA from 1 species
GAUGAACGCUGGCGGCGUGCUUAACACAUGCAAGUCGAACGAAGCACUUUAUUUGAUUUCCUUCGGGACUGAUUAUUUUGUGACUGAGUGGCGGACGGGUGAGUAACGCGUGGGUAACCUGCCUUGUACAGGGGGAUAACAGUUGGAAACGGCUGCUAAUACCGCAUAAGCGCACGGCAUCGCAUGAUGCAGUGUGAAAAACUCCGGUGGUAUAAGAUGGACCCGCGUUGGAUUAGCUAGUUGGUGAGGUAACGGCCCACCAAGGCGACGAUCCAUAGCCGACCUGAGAGGGUGACCGGCCACAUUGGGACUGAGACACGGCCCAAACUCCUACGGGAGGCAGCAGUGGGGAAUAUUGUACAAUGGGCGAAAGCAUGAUGCAGCGACGCCGCGUGGGCGAAGAAGUAUUUCGGUAUGUAAAGCUCUAUCAGCAGGGAAGAUAAUGACGGUACCUGACUAAGAAGCACCGGCUAAAUACGUG